rnacentral:rRNA from 1 species
GAAUAUUGGACAAUGGGCGAAAGCCUGAUCCAGCCAUGCCGCGUGAGUGAUGAAGGCCCUAGGGUUGUAAAGCUCUUUUGUGCGGGAAGAUAAUGACGGUACCGCAAGAAUAAGCCCCGGCUAACUUCGUGCCAGCAGCCGCGGUAAUACUAAGGGGGCUAGCGUUGCUCGGAAUCACUGGGCGUAAAGCGCACGUAGGCGGAUAUUUAAGUCAGGGGUGAAAUCCCGGGGCUCAACCCCGGAACUGCCUUUGAUACUGGGUAUCUAGAGUAUGGUAGAGGUGAGUGGAAUUCCGAGUGUAGAGGUGAAAUUCGUAGAUAUUCGGAGGAACACCAGUGGCGAAGGCGGCUCACUGGACCAUUACUGACGCUGAGGUGCGAAAGCGUGGGGAGCAAAC